UAGGGUUUAGAGUUAAGGGGUGGGGUUUAGGAUUUAGGAUUUAGAGUUUAGGGUUUAGGGUUUAGGGUUUAGGGUUUAGAGUUUAGGGGUGGAGUUUAGGGUUUAGGGUUUAGAGUUAAGGGGUGGGUUUUAGGAUUUAGGGUUUAAGUUUUAGGAUUUAGGUUUUAAGGUUUAGGGUUUAGGGUUUAGAUUUUAGGGUUUAGAGUUUAGAGUUUAGAGUUUAGGGUUUAGGGUUUAGGUUUUAGGGUUUAGAGUUGGGGAGUGGGGUUUUGGGAUAAGAUUUCAAAUUUUGAAAAAUAAAAAAAAAUUAAAUUUUUCAAACGAUAAAAUGCUAUUUUGGUCAUUUUAGUUUUUGAUGAAUGAAAAGAAAGGGUAGAGUUCCUUAUAUAGGAGAAGAGAAUGAAGGAAGAUUUUCUAAAUUCCAAUGUGGGACAAAAUAAAAUGAAAAGGAAAUUUUAGGUUUUAAUUAAAAAAAAAAAAACAAAUGGGCUUUCCCAUUUCCAUAGUUACAGUUUUUUUCUUCUCGGAUAGACAUCGCACACAGCCUUCCAUGAGCGAUUGUUAUAUAAUAUAUUCAGUGUUAAAAAACACUAAAUUGGUAAAUGGUAAACAAAAGGGACUCAGUGCCUACUAAAACGCUUAAUCAAAAUUUUAAAAAGAGAAAAUGACUAGGAUAGCACUAAAAAUUUUUUUGUCACAAAUAUAGUCUCUAAGAAUAAAAAUGACCAAAAUAGCACUUAAUGUUUUAUCAAAAGAGAUAAAUACACACUUAUACCCCAAUGGUAAAUUAAUUUAGACAUUAGGGUUUAGAGUUAAGGGGUGGGGUUUAGGAUUUAGGAUUUAGAGUUUAGGGUUUAGGGUUUAGGGUUUAGGGUUUAGAGUUUAGGGGUGGAGUUUAGGGUUUAGGGUUUAGAGUUAAGGGGUGGGUUUUAGGAUUUAGGGUUUAAGUUUUAGGAUUUAGGUUUUAAGGUUUAGGGUUUAGGGUUUAGAUUUUAGGGUUUAGAGUUUAGAGUUUAGAGUUUAGGGUUUAGGGUUUAGGUUUUAGGGUUUAGAGUUGGGGAGUGGGGUUUUGGGAUAAGAUUUCAAAUUUUGAAAAAUAAAAAAAAAUUAAAUUUUUCAAACGAUAAAAUGCUAUUUUGGUCAUUUUAGUUUUUGAUAGCUAUUUUUGUGACAUAAACUUAGAAAUGUGCUAUUUUGGAGAUUUGCCUUUUUAAAAAUUCUAUAAUAUAGUUGACACCAUUAACCGCCAUAACCAUCUCAUUGAAAAACGUUUCAGCUACCGAUUUUAGACCGCGAAUCUCCUCAUCCAAAUCUUCGUUCACCCACCUUAACACGGCGCCUCUGUAACCACCAUGAUUUCAGUGUUAUAAUGAGUUUUGAUCGUCUGCUUGAGAUCACGAAUCUCCUUCACUUUGGCAAGACACUUGUCUUUCUUUUCCAACAACUAACAGUUCAACACAUCCAUUUCUUCAUCGCCGGCAGCCUGGGCCUCAACACUCAUCCAGUCUCUAAAGUAAUAGAGCUGAUACAUGACCUACAACAAGAAGACAAAGGCUUAGACAGAACAUUUGAACUACUAAAAGAAUGGUGACGUUUUAUAAUUACCCUGAAAAGAUCACAAUGGACGCUUUGGACCCCAAAUACCUCCCAACAAAGGGACUUUGUCUUGAGCAAACACUUUGACGUGUAGGUUUGUUAAAACCUUCGAAAAACUAGCAUGAGGACAGGAACUAUCAAGGGAUUGCUUUGCAAACCUGGUGGUAAUCCAUGUAGCAUUCGCCUUCUUCCCUUUAAUGGCAUAAGGUAGUUCUGUCUUCACAACGGUUCUGUGGUUGACCCCUGCCAAACUCCCAAUGAUCAUUACUUCAUCCUCAUAAACUGUUAUGCUAGAAGAUCCAUUCUUGACAUCGCUUGAUAGGCCUUUUUUAGAGCCAAUGCAUUAAUUCUUGUGCUUCCAACAUGUUUCCUGAACAGAUGACACCAUCAGAGAAGUGAGGAGUCAAUGAUAAUUGAGGACCGCUUUUGGCCAUAUUUCUCUUCUUCCAAUUCUUCCUCUUCUUUCCCCCAGACUUGUCUGUUUCUGUCUCUGUGUGCUGAGAUAACCGACAGGUGUCGAUUGACAAUGAAGUGGUAGUGUCGAUCGAUACUGGUAUACCUUUCUCACAUCAUCUUCUAGAACUUAUUUUUCCUCAGAAACAUCUCCAUGCAGAGGAUCGAUCGUCUACUAUCCCAGUGUUUAGAUCUAGAUGCAUACUUAUGUCAGCUGGACUAGGCGAUCCAACUUCAAAAAUAGCGCAGAGAACCUCAACAGUGUCGUUUGACACGGGGUAAACAGUGUCAUUCGACACUUGGAUAUCUACGCUGCCAAUCGCUGCUUGGAGGGUGUCGACUGCCCUCUUAGACUUAUGGAUCGUGCGUGAAUCAGUAGGAUCCUUCUUUGAAGAACCCAAAAAAACUUCUUCCCAUUGCUUCCUGGUACUGAUAUGUAUGUACAUGAAACACAAGAAAAAACAAUUUAUGUAAGUAAACUACACAUAGAAAAAUAACCUAGACUAAAUCAAACAAAUUGAGUCUAAUGGCAAUUCAUGCUCCCCGGAAACGGCGCCAAAUUUGAUAUCACUCAAAUUACCCUAAGGAGUGACUUUUACUCUUUCAAAUAAGAAGUUUAUUUGUAGUACUUAGGGAUCAAAUCCACAGGGAGCGUGGUCACACAACAGACUGAAGACAGUCACGAUUAAGCUAGGCAAAUAAGUAUUAAAGCAGUAAAUAAAGCCGUAAAUAAGUUGAAGAUUAAAAUAGAUUGAUUGAUGAGUUCUUUGAUGGAAGGAUGGUUGCUAGACUAGGGUUUUAUUCAGGUUAUCAGAACUCAAUCUAUAGAUGGUAAGGGUUGAUCCUAGAACUCAAAUUCAUAUAAGUAAGUAAAUCAGCUCUCGCAUGCGCUUACUAAUCAGAUGUCUAAGUCCUAUGUUCCAGCUGUCGCAUGCGAACAAGGAGCGAGCCUCGAUCGAUGCUAUGGUAAUAGCGUCGAUCGAUGCUUCUUUAGACAAGCAUUAAUGACCUAAUCGAUAUGUUCACUAGGUUAACUAAAUCAGCAUUCGCGUGCGCCAAACAACCUAGCUCAGCAGAAUUAUUAUCAGGUAAGGAACGUACUGUCGUAGUUGUCUAUAAUCCUAAGAUCAGGGUUCAAGUUAGCUACUCUAGAACACAUGUAAUAAGUCCAAUUCAGUGAAGGAUUCAAUUAUCACCCUAGAAAUUCUCUAUCUCAGAAGAACAUCAAAACCCUAGAAAACCUAGAUCUAACAGAUAGAUCUACUCAAACAUGAUAGUUGUCACAAAAAAUCUUAGAUGAAUAGAUAUAAAACUGGAAAUCAAAAUAAAUAUCAAAGCCAAACCUAAAGGGGUUCCAGGAGGACUCGUAAGAAGUUCUUCCUUUCUCUCCUAACCUAAUUAAUAUGAAUAAAAUAAAGCGUAGCCGUCAACAAUGGCUUAGAAAACACAUAAAUAGGAUGGAUUUUAUGUCAUCCAAAGGCUUUCUGGUAAUUUGUGGUCACUUCUGGGCUUAAGACGAUCAUGAAAUAGGCUCGGUCUGUCUUCUGGCAUCACCAUCGAUCGACACCAAGGCUGUAUCAUCGAUCGACAUUCCUUCAUAUCUUCGACCGCUUGCUCUCGCGAGGCAGACAAACAACUCUUCAGUAAAACAGGCAUAACAUCUGCUAUAGGAUUCUGAUUGACCUUAAACUCGUGGCUUUGAAAAACUAACUCAAAGCUAUAUUUUCUAUCAAAAUAUGGGCUAAAUCCAAUUGUGGGAAGCUCUCCAUCCAUAGUUAAACUUCUGGCACAUCUGUGCAGUUCUGCACCCCAAGAGGCCCUAGAAUCACCAAAGUUCUCUAAAACGUACCUGAACUUGAAAACACUCUAAAACAUACUCCAAAAUCAUAUAAUAGACUCUAAAAAAAUCAUAUACCCAUGGCAUAAAAGUGUUAAAAUCCAUGGUAUAUCAGUAGAAUUUCUAGUUUGGGAUAUAUCUUAUCAAGUUUCUCGUCUCAGUGGUAUCAGAGCAUAUAAAUCUUUUAGGACCGAGCAAUGGACACCAGAAAAACCACCAUGAUGAUCGAGAUGAACAAACAAAUAGAGGAUCUUCGUCCAUCACAAACACAGCAAACCGAAGUAAUUCAAAAAGAAUUAAGAGGAAAAAUCGAUGAGCUUAAAGCGAUGAUGGAAAAAUAUUUUGCUAAUACUCCACCACCUACCAUGCAACAUGAAGGAUCUUCCGGUCUAACGUCUGCAGAAAAAUCUAAUGAACUAGACCCACUAGAUCGCGCCCUUGGAAAGUAGAGUACAGAAAAAACAAGUCAAAUCAAUCUCGAUCAAACCCUAACUACCUCUCCAUAACAGUCUUUCGUAAUGGCUAAGAAAGAUUGUAAUCCCGAUGUUUGAUGGAUAAGUACUUCGAGAAUGGAUUUACCGUUGUGAACAGUUCUUCUCGAUUGAUAGUACACCACCAUAAUUGAAGGUUCGUCUCGCCUCUCUUCAUAUGAUAGGCAAAGCUCUUCAAUGGCAAAACGCCUACAUUGCAAAUCGCUACAACAUAUUCCCGCUAUGGCCAGAAUAUGUCACCGCCAUAUCUGAACGCUUCAGCGAGCUUUAUGACGAACAUCUUUCGGAUUUAAUUAGUCUGAAACAAGAAAAUGAUUCCAUUGACAUCUAUCUGCAAAAGUUCGAUUGCGCUAUGACAAGGCUCACACUUCCUCCGGAACACGCGCUGAGCAUCUUCUUAACCAGCAUGAACCAACACCUCGCCCUCCAUGUUCGACAAUUUAACGUGACUAUUGUCACUACAGCAGCACGAAUUGCUAAACUUCACGAGCUCUCUCUUCAUCAUACUCCUACAAAGCCAUCGCUCUUCUUUCAACCCCUACCAGGAGAAAAAUUCACCGCCUCCAUACAAAACUCAACACGCUACAAACACACCAGCAACACCUAACACAAAACUCCUCCUCCCAAGUACAAAUAAAAAUGCCUCACAUUCAAAGAGAUGCAUGAAAGAAAACGUAAGGGUUUAUGUAUGUUUUGCGAAGAACCAUUCACGCCUUGUCAUUAGAUUAAGCACUGGCGUUCUGAGUUCUUGUUUAUGGAAGCUGAUCAGACAUAAUUUGAUGAAGAAAUCACGCUAGAAGAACAAAUACGAGAAACAACCAUUAGCGAUCAAGAUGUCAAGGUCCCUGUAGAACCUAAAAUCUACACAAAGUAUUUGAUAGUGAUCGGGGUUUGAUCUAGGGAAGACAAAUGAUGUAGGAAACGAUAUCUUUAGAACACAACGAUGUUAAGUAGUUUCCAGCAAGUGAAAAUGGAUUUUAUUGAUGACUAAGAUCGAAUACAAUGAAUUGAACUAGAUCGAGUGAUACAAAUGAGAUCGGUAAAGAAAGAAUCUAAAAGUGGGAAGACAACAAGAUCGAUGUGAAUGUGUCGCUCUCUCUAGGGUUUUCAACGUCUCCUCUUCUGCUUCCAUUUCUCUUCCUUUAUAGUAAGCUGACUUUGAGACCUCUGUGGUAGCUCCACGAUCUCAGCUUCUUGUUGCGCGAUCUCCGUGACCUCGAUGACUCCUUCUCGAGCUUGUAUCCUUGCUAUGGGCUCCGGCCCUUUAAGGCCCAGGCCUUUGAACGCGGCACAUCAUGGUAUUGGCCAAAAUUGGGUCCAACAUUUGUCCCCCAGCCGCUUUUGAUUUGAUCGAAAAGGAAAAGGAGCGGUUGUCUUUUGAUCCGGGUCUUCUCGUUUGAUAACCGAUAUCGCUCGGAUCCAGUUUUAAUGAUCGUUUUCAAAAAAAAACGUUCGUUGGCACGUUUUUUUAUUAUUAUUUUAAUCGGUAACGGUUACUUUAGCCGCCGUUAGGGCAUAGGCUAGGUCAUAAUUGCUUUUCUCGAUAGCAAUGAUAGAGCCGUUAAGGUGGCUUAUAUAUACGUAGAGGAUCUUCUUUUUGCCUCAAUCUCGUUUCUUCUUUCUAGUUUCUUUCCUCUGCUCCAAAACUUUUUGUCGAGCUUAAGAUGUCCUCGUCGUUCAAUUUCCCUCGUCCGACUACCGAGGCUGAUGAUCUCGACAACCUUUACAAGGCGUACGGGGUCGAUCGUGCCGUCAUUCUUGAUUUGGCCGGUACGAAUGAGACUCCCGAAACCGUGAGAGAAAGCUACUACGGAGCCCAUCUUUCCUUCUUUCAUUCUUGCGGUCUUACCUUCCCGAUCCCGGAGCCAAUACUAGAGGUCCUAGCAGAGCUUGGGUUAUCGCUUACCCAGCUUCUCCCGAAUUUUCUUAGGCAUCUUGUCGCCUUCUUGGUUAAGGCCAGGGAGGAGGUUCUUGCUUUUGGUCUUAGUGAGUUUCGUCAGCUCGUUCUGGUGAAGCGGAAUAAGCAGAACCCUGGUACUUUCCUCGUGUCUCCGCGCCCAGGUCGCCACAUCAUCGAGGACAUCCCUUAUCGCGACGAGAAGUGGUGCUAGCAAUUUUUCGUUUUCAAGAUGGAUCGAGCAUCUAUGGGUGACUUUGAUUUCUCCCAGCUUCCCUGGCGUUGGGCUGAGAAUAUCGGUUAGUUUCCUUUUGCCUAUGUGCUGAUGAUUUCUUUGUUUGGGGAGUCAAAGAUUAAAACUUUCAUUUAUUUUCGUUUGAUUUAGUUCCUUCUGGUCUAAUGUCGGAUGAGAUCCGCGAUCUGAUGAGGGCCGUUUAGAGAGGUCGUUCGAACUGGUCUACUUUUGAAUGAACUCGGAUUCAAACUGUCCUCGCCUUGCCGGCGGGGACAAAUAGAGCUCCUUCGGCCGAGGGGUCUGAAGGCGAGACCGAUCAUUCCUAGGAGGUCGUAGUGACUCCUUCUGUUCAGACUCAGUCUUCAGAUCGGCUUCCUAGGGAGCUUGUGAGAAGAUCGUCAUUUUGAACUUCUGGGUUUGCAUCGAGGGGCCGAUUUACCGGAAAAUUUCCCUUGAUCUCGAUUCACGAUUCCGACGAUGAAGAUGUUUCAGGAGAGACUCGACCAUCUGUCUCGUCGAGCCCUGGCUCAGAAGACAAGACCGUGGCGGCGACUCAUAAGCGACGUCGGUCAUCGGAAGGUGACUUGACCGGUCCGUCUCAUCCUAGGUUUGUUUCUGAGGGAGAUGGCUCUUCGUUUGCGGCCCAAAGCGACUUAAUUUCCCUCGCUGGUCGCAUGAGGUCCGCGGGUUGUCGUCUCCCAUCUCUCACUUCCUCAGUCGAGAGGGAAGCCUAUGCCAAGGUUGUUGUGGCGAGCUCUAAGGUUCGUCCCUCGCCUUCGUUCUACUUGAAAAGCUCUUUUGUGGUAUUUGCUCAUUUCCAUUUCUUCUCAGGUGAUGGAAGCUUUUAAUGAGUACGCCGUGAUGAUGGAGGAUCAUGUUGUGGCUUCUCGGAACGAUAAGGAAAUCGAGAGUAUUUGUUCUGAGAUUAAGAGGCUUUCGGAGGAGCUCGAAACCACCAAGCAAGAAGGGAAGAAGGAUGCCAAGAAGAUCGAAGCCUUGACUGAAGACUGGAGGGGAGUUCAUCUGGAGAACGAGACUCUCACGUCCCAGAUGGUUGCUCAAAGUGAAAGAAUUGCGGCGCUCGAGGUCGAGAGAGAUCGGGACAUUCGAUGCGCUUCUCGUAUUGCUCGUCGCGAUAUUGCUGCAAAGUAUCGGGAAGUUCUCCAAUCUUUGAAGGGUAGGUGGGCGAGCAAGAAGAAGGAAGUGUCUGCUGAGAUCCGACUACAAGAAGUGACCGCCAACAUCGAUCUCCUGAACGAGCUUAAGGAUGGGGGCCUAACUGUGGAUGCGGAACUUGCACGUUUAAAGGGAAUGAAAGGAGAUUGCAAGGAUCUUGUCGCCCUAGCCGUCGUGCCGGAUUGGUCGAUCGCCGAGCUCGAUCUUCCUCAAGUCUCAGAUGAUUCUGUGGAUCAAGUCGGGGGGUCGUCUGUCCCCGAUGAUUUCGUUUCUAGUUAUUUUUUUCUGUUAUAAUAUCUUUUGGUUUUUUUACGAUCUUUGAUCGUGAUAUCUAGGUAAUCUUUUAAUGGAUAAUCAUAAUAUUUUGGAAUAUCCUUGUCUCCUUAGCUUUCGAGAUUCUUUUGUUCGGGUUGUUGAGAUAUGGCGAGGUUCUGAUCCCUAUAAAGCUUUGACUUUGUUUUAGGAUUCAUCAUAGUAUCUCAUUUAGUUUUUGUUUUUGUUCACUAAAGGAAUAUGACUUCGAGAAGAUCCAACUCUCGCGAUUUCGAUAGGGUACGAACUCGAACUGGUAGUGCCAAUGCGGAACGUAUUCGAUCCGGAGAUGUGAGUGAUGCGCUCUCAGAAGUUCUUUGUGAGGAGACCCAACUUUCACGGCCUUCAACCCAAGGGGCCAAAGACCCUGAGGGUGAAAAAUCUGUUGCCCGCGUUAAGUCGAGUAGCCCAACGGGUUCGGAGGGGCGUGAUCGUCCUCCGAAGAAGGCUAAAACAAAUGGCUCGGAUAGUCGUCUUGGUCUCUCGGGCAAAGCGGCUGUUCCUAAGCCGUUCCACUGGCAGUUCUCGCAUUCCAAGGAUUGUCCUAUUACGGAAGAUCCAGAUAGUGUUGCUCAUUUGGUGAGACACUUCAAACCUGCUGGAUGUCCGCUUCCCUCUUUGCGUAAUAUGACGGAGCGUGAGGCUUACGUAAAGAUGGCUGUGGCCCAUGCCAUGGUCGUUCCUUUUGAAAUUUGGUCCUUGUCGAAUCUUUGGUUCGUUUUGUCUGAACUGAUUUAUCAUGUUUCAGGCUAUGGAGGCUAACAACGAGUUUGCGGCAACUUUAGAAAAACGCAUGCAAGAUGUUCCGUGUUCUGGCGAACUUUAUGAAAUAAAGAAGGUCGUUCGUGAGCUAAAGCUUGGUCUGAAGAUGGCUCAAGACCGGGAGCGUGCCAAUGCUGCUCAACUGGCUGCCGCUGAAAAUCUGGAGAAUCAGGCUGCUUCGCUCGAAGCUCAUCUGCGAGUUGUGAGUAACGAAAGGAAGUCGGCCCUCGAGCAAGUUUCCUUUUUGGAAGCGAAGGUUGAAUCUUCUGCCAAUAAGUUCUCUGACGACCUUCACCGCGCGACUCGUGAGACCAAAAAGACUAUGGUGGAUAGCUAUCUGGAUGUGCUGGUCUCUCUGAAGGAGAAAUGGGAAAAGUAGAAGGCUGCAACUGAUAUUGAGGCUCGUCUUCGAGAAGUCGUGGCAAAUAUAGAUCUCUUGAAGGAGAUCAUGAGCAACAAUCCCCUAGCUUUGGAUGAGUUGUUGCGGAUUCGAGCGAAGGAGAUCGAGCUUGGGUCCGAGGUCGAUGUGAUGGCGACUUCGGAUUUCUGCGUUGGGAAGCUCGACUUGCCUCAGAUUUCGGAGGAUCUGCCGGAGGAUUUCUUCGAUAAGGUCCCUUCUGCGGCGGAUGACGUGGCAAAGUGCUCGGGUGAUCACUUUGAGGAUGGUGAAUUCAGCAUCGAAGAGUAGCUUUAGGGACUUUCUUUGUUUUUUCCUCUGCCUUUUGUUGCUUUAUUAUUUCUUUUAUUUAAUAAAGAAGGGAUCGUGGGUCCCGAUUUAUUUGUUGCCAUUUUUAUGUUUUAUGCGAGGCCGAUCUUUUGGGGCCAUGUGUCGAUUUUUUGUAGAUACUUCUAUCGACAGUUUCGAUGUAACAAAAAAUUUUGUUAGCUAGUUUUGUCGUGCUUAUUGGCGGAGUUGGUCGCGACCGAGGACUUGAUCAGGUCUUGGUUUUUGGUCAACUAUCGCAGUUAUGCGAUUUUCUGACACGAGAAGUCUGAUGUGUUCGAAUGUCUAAGAACUGUAUUUAUUAAGACGCCGGAUUCUGGCUUCCUCUGAUAGUUUCGAAUCCUUUUGAGGUUGGAAAUUUCAGGCCAUGGUGAUAUGUCGAGGGGACUGCCUUCAUGCUGUAUAGCCAAGGUCUCCCGAGGAUUGCGUUGAAUGGGGCCGGACGGUCUAUCACGAUGAAUUCUACGAUUUUUCUGAUUUCUCCAGCGGUUACCGCGAGCUCGAUCGAUCCGAGAGAAUAGGCGGUCUCUCCUUCGAAGCCGAUGAAGGGAGUUCGCUCUUGCUUUAGGAGUGCUUUAGUGAAUCCCAUUUUUUUAAACGCCUCGUAGAAGAGGACAUCGGCCGAGCUUCCGGUGUCGAUCAUUACUCGGGAUAGUUCGCAGCCACCAACGUCGAUUCGUAUCACAAGAGCCGUCGUCGUGCGGUUUUUUUUCGUUGAAGGUGAUUUCAUGAUCGGGACCUGACAAGGGCUCUCUAAUUCCUACGUUGUUUUCUGCACUCCGUUGGUAUGCUUUCAUUGAGUUGACCGAAUUGCAGAAUUUGGAGCCUCCGUAGAUGAAGUCGAUCCGUUUUUUGCCCUUGUUGUGGGCCGGAAAAUUCCACCUCUUAGUCAGUGCUGGUUGGUAGUGGCUCUGUCCCCUAGACAGAUUGCGAUUGAGAGUCUGCAUUAUGUCUUGUUUUUGAAUCGGUUUCUCCAACAGCUCGCGAGUUUUGGUCAUUUUAUUCUUUCGCUUGAAGUUGGAGAUUUUUACACUAGGAGGUUUUGUGUUUUGGUUGUAUGGAGUGACACAGGGAGGGGGAGUGACUUCGUCGGGAUUUUCCAAUGUGCGGAUUGCUACCGAGAUCUCGAAGCGGAUUUUUCCUUCGGUUUGGCUCUUGAUUUCAUCGGUUGUGUUGCUGUUCUGCCCCCAUGGUGAUUCAUGUUCGAUCUCCCUGCCUCUUUUGUUUGUUAAGGCUUUGGUCUUUCGGUUGGAUAUCAGAGUCACUGGCUCUUCUUCUUCUUCGGCUUCUUCGUUAGUAUUUUUGUUUUGACUGCGAAGUACGGCUCGACAUUCUUCGGUCGAGUGGCCCUUGCGAUCAUGGAAAGUGCAGUAUUUGCUAAGGUCAUAUGUUGAAGACUUUUGCGGCGAAUUAUUUAUUGCGUAGGAAUGUUGCCCUUUGGUGGUUGGUUCUUUAGGAGUAGAAGGUUUUUUGGUUGUGUUGUUCUUGUUCGCACUAUACUGUUCUUUCAAGGCUGCGCCUUCCUCUUCACGAGUGGCGAAAUAAGAGGCUCGGUGUAGGGCGUCGUCCAACGAGAUAUGUGCUCGUACCACCAAUUCUUCCCUGAAUUUGGAUGAGAACUAGACGCCAUUCUUUAACACUGCGAGGGCAACAACUUCGUUCGGAUGUGAGAUCUUGGCUUUAAUUUCUUGGAAUUUGUUUAUGUAUUCUCUUAAUGGCUCGAAAGGCGCUUGUUUGAGAUUCCAGAGAUCUGCUUCGGUAACUCUUGUCUCUAUGAAGACUGAGUAUUGUUUGAGGAACGCAGAUACCAGCUGGGUAAAGUUGUCGAUAGAAUUUUCUUCUAGUCCAGCGAACCACUCUAGGGCGGCUCCAGUGAGGUUCUCGGCGAAGAAACGGCAGUAUCCAGCUUCUUUUUCAUUGUCGGUGAGGUGUGCUCUUGAUAUUGCUAGACGGAAAGCUCGCACAUGGGCUUUUGGGUCUGUGUUCCCGGCGUAUUCGGGGAAUUUCAGUUUCCCAACGUGAUACAGUCUUACGCUGGCGAUUCUGUUUGUGAAUGGGGUCCUUCUCGUUUCCUCGAUGACAAUGUCGAUAUCGGGAGCGGAGCUCGUCGCCAUGUGUACGAUCACAUGUAUCCUUUUGAGCUCGGCGUCGUUCCUUUCGAUAUAAUUCUGGAAGGUUCCAGUUUCGUUCGGGAUUCCCAAGUCUUCCCUUUGGGGGUCGAUAUUGAUGGGACCGCGAAGAUCGUGUCUCCGAUCUUGUUCCGUUGGGUUAUCGAACCCUAUUUGAUUGAAGGUUCUGGUCGCGGACGGAGUUCGAUUCUCGGGGAUAGAAUGGUUUGGUGGUGAGAUUCGUGUUCUUGGCUCCCCCUGCCUCUCCGUCGAUCCGUUCUGGAAUUGGAUCGGAGUGCUUCAUGGGCGUUGGAGUCCAGUGUCGAUUUCGUCCAGUCCAGUGUAGCUUAAGCUUCGGUAGGUCAUGCCCUGCGGUGGGGGUCGUUGAGAAUUUUCUCCCACGUAGCGUCCGGAUCGGGCGCUUGGGAUCUCUGGACUGCCGAACAGUCCAGUGCUUUGGGGGUUGGACGUCGUCCUUAACGGAUCGAGGGGCGUUUGAUUUCUUUCCCGAAUAUUUGCAGCUCGAUGCUCUGUGAGCUCCCUUUCGGCUUGGUCCAGUCUAUUAGCAAUGGUUUGGUUGGCGAUCCUUUGACUAUGAAUCUCGUCGAUUAGAGUUGUCAUCAUUCCUCGGAGUUCGGUCAGUUCUCCUCGGGUUUGGGCUAGAGGAGUCGGUGAGAUCGGUCUGGAUUGGGAUCGGGUUAGGUCGUCAGAGGAUGAUCUAUCUCUGGGGCGGUUCCAAACUCGAGCUCCAGCUCGUUCUGGGAUCGUCGUCUGGUUGAUCGGAAGAGAUCGAUCUUGACUCGAAAUCCCGAUUGGAGGGAUUCGUUGCGUCAGAGCUGUUUUGGUCGCAUCAUUGGCUCCCGUUAACCCAGUUGGGGUUAUUCCAGCUCCCGAGUCAGAUCCGAUAGGAUUGAUGUCGUUGACUCCCGAUGACGUGGUUCCGGUGGUUUGGUUUGGAUCCAUAGUCGCGCUUAGGAAACUUAGAUCGGUUUCUUAGCAAAGAUGUUUUUCGUUUAUCUUCCCCACAGUCGGCGCCAAAAUGUAGAACCUAAAAUCUACACAAAGUAUUUGAUAGUGAUCGGGGUUUGAUCUAGGGAAGACAAAUGAUGUAGGCAACGAUAUCUUUAGAACACAACGAUGUUAAGUAGUUUCCAGUAGGCGAAAAUGGAUUUUAUUGAUGACUAAGAUCGAAUACAAUGAAUUGAACUAGAUCGAGUGAUACAAAUGAGAUCGGUAAAGAAAGAAUCUAAAAGUGGGAAGACAACAAGAUCGAUGUGAAUGUGUCGCUCUCUCUCUAGGGUUUUCAACGUCUCCUCUUCUGUUUCCAUUUCUCUUCCUUUAUAGUAAGCUGACUUUGAGACCUCUGUGGUAGCUCCGCGAUCUCAGCUUCUUGUUGCGCGAUUUCCGCGACCUCGACGACUCCUUCUCGAGCUUGUAUCCUUGCUAUAGGUUCCGGCCCUUUAAGGCCCAUGCCUUUGAUCGCAGCCCAUCAUGGUAUUGGCCAAAAUUGGGUCCAACAGUCCCUACUAUAUCUGUAUACACGUUAAAUGGUUUUCCGAUGUAUAACUGUAUGCGAACAAUGGGUCAAUACAGAAAGCGGAAACUGCACAUAUUAAUCGACCCCUGCAACACAUAUAACUUUCUCUAUCUUCAAAUCGCUAAAAGAUGGGGUUGCUAUCUGACGCCAAUCAAACCAGUGUCAGUUGUUUUAGCAAGUGGCGUCUUGAUUACACAGUAUAAAUGCUGUAAUUUCACAUGAACGAUGCUGGGUUAUGAGUUCAAAACCGAAAUAAGAACACUACCAUUGGGAUGUAGUGAUCUAAUACUGGGUGUGCAUUGGCUCUCCACUUUGGGAGCUAUCUUAUGGGAUUUUCUGAACCUGCGAAUGUAGUUCAAAUUUCAGGGUCUGAAACAUGUCCUCAGGGGAAGAACUCCGAACAGCUCCAAAAACAUCGCCGGAAGCAUUAAAUAAGCAAUUCUUUCAAGAACCGCAAAUUGCACUGCUUCACUCACAGGAGAUCGACAAUACCAUCAUACCUCAACAGCCACCACUGGUUCACAUACCUUAUCUUCCUGCAAAAAUUUCUUCACCAGCUAUCGACCAAAAACACUGAAGAAACAGAAGUUGGACCCUAACCUGCCACACUCAACUGCGAUGCUGCUUCAUUGCCUCUAUAACAUGGUAACUAGCAAAGUACCUGAGCUGAUUCAUGAAAAGAAGAUGGUUAACAGUUAAAAUAAAGAAGUGACAAAGGUUUUGGUACAAUGGAAAGGCUGCCCUCCUCAGCAAGCAACAUGGGAGUUUUAUCAAUAUUUCAUUGCCAAGUUUCCGUAUUUCCAUAUUUCUAUACUUGAAGACAAGUAUGAUUUGAAGGAAAGAGUAUUGUGACAGGAUAAAUCACAUAUCAUAGUUAUCGUUAUCUAAUUAUUAGUUUUCCUUAUGUUGCUUGGCUUUAUCUAUUUUUCUAAUUAAAUAUUCUCUUUGAUUUUACUAUAUAUUUUAGCCUUACAACAAGCCUUAUUCUCAAUCAAUCAAUAAACCUAUUUACCUCAAUCUUACUAAUUUGUCAAUAACCUAGAAAGAGCUCAUUCAAAAGCGACGCUUACGAACUCAGACUUUCGAGAUGAUCCUUCUACUUCAUGAUCAUCUUCUAGGUCUUUGUUUACCCAUUUUUCGAAUCCAUAGUAGAAUUUCUGGUUUUGGAUCUAUCCUAUCAAGUUUCCUGUCCAUAUUGACAAUUCCUUACCCGGUUAAAAUAUCCAAAUAUAUUCGUCCUUCCGAUUGGUUCCAUCCUCGAUUUAUCUUUGUUCAAUUAGUGAAAAUCGGUGAAAGAACGAAACGACUUUUUAAACUAUCAACAGAAAAGGAAAGCUGUUUUUUUUUUGGUAAAAUGUUAAUAUUAUACCAUUUUUGAAAUUUUUCACAAUGUUGCAAGCAACUUAUUACACGGAAACAAACAACAACAACGUAACACAAGUCGUAAAUUAAACUCAAGGAGACCGAUAAGAAGUAAAAUACAGUUGAAGGAGCGAAGGGCCGGCUGGAAGUGGCGCUGGAACUGAGAGAAUCCGGUCACGAAGUAACCUGUCGAUCGAAUGCAUGAUGAAGGUCACUCGUAGAGGAAGACACUGAAGUAAAUAUGCGGGCAUUUCUUUCUCUCCAAAUGAUGUAGAUGAUGGAUUGAAAGAGGAGCUUAAGAAGUGUCACUUGUUUGCUGCAUAGGGUACGCCUGGACGCUGCUAUCCAAGCUGCUGCUGCGUGGAGGUCAGCCGGUGGGUUAGGUAGAAUACCAGAAGCAAAACUCAGCCAAAGCUCAGAGGAUACGCUGCACUCAAAGAACAGGUGAUGGUGCGUUUCCACUGCCGAGGAACAGAGCACACACUGAUCUGUGACAUUUAGUCCCCAUCAUCGAAGUCUGUCCUUAGUAGGCAACCGUCGUAGGAGAGCCAACCAAGCCAUGAAAGUGUUCCUAGGAAUGUUUUCCUUGAACCAUAUAAUUUUACUCCAAAACACCACUGGAGCUGAAACCCUUAAGUACUCCCAGGUAGUCUUCGAAGAGAAAGAAGUCCCAAAUGUACCUCCUGCUUUUCGCCAUAGGUAACAGUCAGGACCAUUCGAAGGCAUAGGCAGAUCAAGUGAAGUAAUUUCCAUCUGAAUACUCUGAAUUUCGUUGGACCUGGCUGCAGGAAACCUCCAGGACCCAUCUACUGUUGCAUCCACCACUGAAGCAUUUCCCCUAACUCUUAAGCUGCGAGGCCCGCUUUGACCUGCAACUUCAAAUAGAGGUCCUAGUUCAGUCCAAUGAUCAUACCAGAAGCUAGCAGAUUCGCCAUUACCAACAACACAUCUCAUAAGCUCUGAGACAAUAGGUUUUAACUGCAGCAUUCUCCGAAUCGUGGGAGAGAACCGAGGGGAGUCAGGUGUCUGCCAGUAGCCAUUUCGAUGGAAGAUAAGUUUUCUCAUCCAAGAGACACAAAUUGAAGCUGGUGCGGAGAAGUAAGACCAGACUCUUUUAAGCCGAAAGACUGUCUCAAAAUCUUCCAAAUGCCUUAAGCCAAGCCCUCCCUCUUCUUUUGGCAUACAUAUGUCUGUCCAAGCCACCUGAGCUCCUCUGGCUGAUGUCGUAUCGUUCUUUCAUAGGAAAGCUUCACAAAGAGAAUCAACCUUUUAAAAUGCUUUUGGCAAUACAAAUACUGCACUCCAAAAGUUAACCACCCCGUAAAUUACUGAAGCAACAAGUCUGAUUAUCCCAGCAAAAGAUAAGUAUUUCACAGUCCAAGAAUGCAGCUUUCCUGUUAUCUUAUCAAGGAAAGGCUGAAGUGUGUUAGUCUACCCGGAUUAGAAAGGCAAGCCAAGAUAGCGAGUAGGGAAGAUACCCAGCUUGAAGCCUGAUGUAUCACUUAGCGUAGCAGCCUCAGUAUCAUUGUAACCCCCGAAGAAGAUCUCUGAUUUCGACGGGUUCAUCUCCAGUCCUGACAUAUUCUUAAAUUCCACCAUAACAUUAGAGAUUCCAGCCAAAGAGGAGUGAGACCCAUCCAAGAAGACCAGAAGGUCAUCAGCGAAGAGCAGGUGCGUAACUCUGGGAUCUUCACACUUAGGAUGAAGCUUUAUCUUGCCCUCCACAGCAGCUUUCUCAAGAAUUUUUGAUAAAGCUUCCAUUACCAUAAUAAACAUAUAUGGAGAUAUGCAAUCUCCUUGCCUCAGCCCCUUCUUUCCUUUGAAGAAGCCGGCUAGCUCUCCAUUUAUGGACAUGGAAAAUCUUGGUGAUGUUAUACACUCCUUAACCCAUUCCCGGAAAACAGGUGGAAAGUCUUGUGCCUCCAAAAGUUUCAGCAAGAAAUCCCAGCAUAUCGUAUCAAAUGCUUUCCUAAUAUCAACUUUCAGCAUCGAGCUCUUUGCGCAGGUGGCUUUUUCAUAAUUUCUUAUCAAUUCAGAAGAGAGUAGAACAUUUUCUCCCAGGCUUCUCCCCAUUAAAAACACUGAUUGGUUGGGGCUGAUACAGUGCUGGAGGAUAGGCUUUAGUCGAUUAGCAAUGAUCUUUGCUAUGACUUUAUAAGAAAUGUUGCAGCAGCUUAUCGGUCUAAACUCUCCCAGUUUGCACGCGUCCGGUGCUUUGGAAUAAGAACUAUUGCCGUGUUGUUGAGGUCCUUGAGCAGCUUUCCAUUUCUGAAAAACUCUUGGACGGCAGCGAUGAAAUCAUUCCCAACAAUUGUCCACGAUGAUCUAAGGAACUCAACUGAGUAGCCAUCUGGACCAGGGCUCUUACUAAGGGGCAUAGCAAAGACUGUCUUUGUAAUCUCCUCAUUUGUUACAUCCUUCAUCAACUCCACUUUUUGACCCUCUGAGCAUCUAAAGUCCAUCAUUUCUCUGAGCUGGUCCACUGUUGCAGGUGAACUCAGCAAUUCUGUCUCGCCCAAAAUGUCUGUGAAAUAGUCAACAGCAUGCUCCUUAAUCCCCUCAGCCGUAUUGAUCAUAUGAUCCCCCGAGUCUCUGAAGAAGUGAAUAUGGUUACUGCUGGCUCUUUGGACCACUGAUCUAUGAUAGAAAGUUGUAUCCCUGUCUCCUAAGUGGUGCCACUGAUUCCUGGACUUUUGACGAUGGAAUUUCUGUUCAGCCUUAGCGAGUACUUGUAGCUUUCCUCUUUCCUCAUGCUCCAGUCGCGCAGUCUCAGUAUCAGGAUUGGACAGAAGCUGCCGCUGGAUCAGUGCAACCUGAGAAGCCUGUUCUUUUACCCUCAGGGAGAUGCCACUAUAAUUUCUAGCAUCUAAGCUCCUUAAAGCAGGUUUGAGAAGCUUAAGAGAAUGAGCGAGCUUGAACUGCUGAAAUCCCUGAAUUGUUCCAAAGUUCCAAGCAUUUCUCACUGUCUCCAAGUAUUCCGGAUGAUCUAUUGUGUGAUGAAAAAACUUGAAGGGUUUAGGAGCCCGUCGAGAUUGAGAAGCCAUCCUCACCAAGCAAGGUGUGUGGUCUGAUUGUUCUGGUUCUAGGAACUCACAAUAAGAAUGAGGGAACAUUUGAGCCCAAUUGUGGUUGAUGAGAGCAUGGUCUAUUUUUUUCGCCACCGGAUUUGCAUCCUGAUUGUUCCACCAUGAGUACGUGAGGCCAUUAGCCUGAGCCUCAAACAAUUAUGCUUCCUGCAAUGCCAAAUUGAAGACCUCCAUCCCAGCAGUAUCAACCUCAGUAAUCAGGUGAUGAGAAUGUUAGUUGGAUCGCAAAAUCUGAUUAAAAUCACCUAAUACCGCCCAUGGAUAUCUUGAUGCAGGAGUAUCAGCAUUUAUUAAUACCAGCUCAUUCCACAAUUGCUGCCUCUCCUCAACCUGAUUAAACUCGUAGACAAAGCUAACCGUGAGAGAGAGGUUUUCAGCCAAAAUAAAGAUUCCACACGUAACGACAUGGGGCGAAGCCUGGUAUAUCGUUACUGAUACAUUUGGAUGCCAAACAACAAUAAUCCUUGUUGUAGACUGGUUAUCCGAGUUCGCAAAAUACUUCCAUCCAGCUGGAAGAACUCUUGAGAUCCGACUUGUGUGAUUGUGUUGUAUUUUUGUUUCUAGUUACGCUCCAAAAAGGGGUUUAUAUUUUCCUAUCCAGUUCUUGACUGAACUGUGGCGUGUAUCGCUGUUCAGACCUCUAGCAUUCCACGCAAAAAACAUGAUUCCAAAAAAAUUUAGGCUUUGGUAGCCUUGCGGCUACCCUUCCAGUUUGAGACCAAGAAGAACGGAUCGUUUGAUGCUGCCCUAUCAGAGUCCGAGGCAGUACCAUCAUCUACAUCAUAAACAUGAACUGUAGAGAAUCCCAAGUUCAUGUCCAAAGAGACCACCUGCUUUGGUGGACCUUCCUUUAGGCAGGUCUUAUCGCUUGCAUUUCCUUCAGAUGGUUCCUCGAGUUCUGCAUUAACAACCAAUUGGAGAUCAUCUGAUGAAUCCUUCUGCGCCAUCAUAGACUCACUUGUGCCAGUGCCAAGAGACUCUUGUGCCUCACUCGGUGGAUCACGCUGUGGGCUAGCAGGCUCUGUGUUUGCAUCUCAUGCAUCGUCUCUGCUCCUGCUAUGGUCACGCCUCCUUGCCCGAGCAGAUCUUCCAGGCCUAGAGCGCUUCUUACCCUUAGACUCACGGCUCAAGGAACGAGCUGCAGAUGGCACAUUUCUAUGUGUAGCAGGUGGAACAGUGGGCCUCCAUUCAUGGCCUACAACGGGACAGAGCUGGUGUUUGUGACCAAACUUCUUACAGCUGGAGCAUUUAUCUGGCAGCCAAGGGUACGAAACGGAGAUCUCCACUUCCUUCCCAUUGGAAAAACCUGAGACAAUCCUAUCCGGCAAAGCAGCCAGCAGAUUAACUUUAACCCAUACUUUAGCAACUUCAAACUAUUAUUUUCUCUCGGUUUCUGGUGCUAGCGAAACAGGUUUGCCAACCGCAGUGGCAAUCCUACUCAGACUUUGGUUGUUGAAUAGAAGGUAAGGAACACCCCUCAGUUAAACCGGCACCACUGCUGAUGUUAGUUGAGGCUGCUCCGGCGUGAACUCCGGUGACCAGGCUGCGACAAACAUUGGGCAUCCCUUAAUCAUCCAGACCUGACGGCUCAGCAGCGCAUCUCUCGUUCUCUCAUUUGUGACUUUCAAUAAGAAUGUUCCUUCUCCAAUCUUGUGCACAAAGAUUAUAGGACCUGCACGUGCCCAAAUCGCAUUUACGACACCAAUAAUUCUUCCCAUAGGUGGAACUUCUCCUGGAAAUCGAGCAAACACAAAUUCCUUGAAUUCCUCCUUUGCAGAAUCAAUAUUUUCAUCAGGUAUCAUCACAAAUGGGGGCCCUGACACAUGAGUAGUUGGAGUUCCCAGUUCCUGAAGCAUACAUGAUUUUUGAAUCCUUGCAAACAGCGAUGGCUCUGCAUUUCCCGAUAGAGGAGAAACAACGACAUGGCCUUCAGCCAUGCUCAAGUACUCAAAUGGAGGAUCUGGAAUAGUUUCCGCACUGGAGGAUGAACCUUCAACAGUGCACGAGGUAACAUUCUUCAAGCUCUGGCUUUCACCCAAUGAAUCGAGCUCACCAACAUGAUUAGAAGAUGGCUGCUCUCCAUGAACAUCUCCUGCAGAAGAACGCUCAGUGGUUACGGGAAGAGAAGCUGGUUUAGAAGAGGCGGCAGAAGCCCCUUUAAAGUGCCCUAGCUUAGAGGAGGCCACAAAUUUCAAGGCACCAGGCUUUUUGCGCUUCCCCAUCGCCGAGGAGAAGAAAUUUUACAGGUAAGAAGAGGGGAGACAAAGAGUUCUCGACGGUGGCGUGGUGCCGGAGCCGUCGGCGCGAGUAGGAGGAGGAAAACCCUAAUCGCCUUUUCAAUUGCCAGGAAGAGAGAGAAAAGUUAGUGUAAAUUGUUGGCCGAUCGCUCUGACCAAAUUUUUUUGUGUUAAAAGGUUAUGAUAAACCUUUAGUAGUUUUGAUAAACCUUUAGUAAGAUCUUAGCUUUUAUACCAUAUUUUAAGUUAUAUCGAACUGACUCGAUGUUAUUCAUUCACAACGUCUUUUUUCUUUAUUGGAACCUAAUGCAUCAUUAGGAAAUGAAAUACUUUUCUGAGUGACAAUUGUUCUCUUCCCAUGUCACUCUUGGUCUUUUAUCUCCUAUAUUUCGUUUUUUUAAUGAAUGUUAAAUUUAUUCACCAAAAAAGCCUUAUUACAACUUGUGCUUCCUUUUUACUUUAAAACUUAUACUCCACUACUCAAAAGAUAAGCAAAAACCUAGUUACAUUCUAGUUAGAAACCAGAAUUGCAUUAACUCCUCCAUACCUUUUGCUCCACUUUUUCGCACUAUACUGAUUAUGUUUCUAAUACCUUUCUCAAUCACUCUUUUUAGAACCGACAGGGGCAUCAUCUUUUCUCCAUGCCUUACCUUGUUCCUUUCUCUCCACAAUGCGUAUAAGACAGCCUGAAAAGCAUAUCUAAUACAUAUCAGACUCUUCUUCUCUCUUGUCCUCUCAGAGAUAAUGCGUAUGAUCCUUGACCAAUCUGUAGUAUAAGAAUUCCUCAACAACCCUUUAGCAAUGAAUUCCCAAACUUGAGCAGACAAGUUGCAUUCAAAAUAUAAGUGGUUUCUCGACUCAGGCGCAUUCUUGCAAAGAACACAGACAUCAUCACUCCCCUGGCUCCAUUUCAUCACUUUAUCCAUAGUCGACAACCUAUCUCUCACUGACAGCCACGCCAUGAAAGCAUAUUUCGGAGUCGCUUGCGGAAACCAAAUGCCUUGAGCCCAAUUACAAAAUGACUUUUUUCUCUCAACUGAUCCCAAGUUUUCUGAGUAGAGAACUCCUUCCUAUACUCCGAGUCUCUUUUCCAAAGAUAAGUAUCAGUAUUGCAUGCAUUCAGAUUAUUCUCAAUGAUACGUAGCUCCUCCUCAAUCUCAUUAAGCAUUCCUACACGGUGUCUUCUUCUUCAAACACUUAACACUGCCUCCUCCACUGUAGCAUUCUUUUUCACUCUCAUAUCAAUGAUCCCCCUAACACCCAACAAAUCAGAGAGAACCCCUUUCCCAGACCAAUUAUCAAACCAAAAAGAGGUGUAUCUUCCAUUACCCACUUCAAACUUCAAGAACAGCUUAGCCACACUUCUCAACUUCAACAUCUUAUGCCACAUCCAAGAACCCAAUUGCAUCUUUGAGUUAACUUCCCAAAAGCUUUGCCCUUUCAGCAAGUUAGCUCGGAUCCAUUUCCCCCAAAGAGACUCUCCAGUUAACAUUCUCCAUAUCAGUUUGAGACCAUAAACCUUAUUGACUUCUCUCAGAUUUCUAAUCCCCAAACCCCCUUCACUCUUAGUGCAGCAGAUAUCUUUCCAAGCAACCUUUGCAUUUGAAGAUUUAAGAGAUGGCCCCGUCCAUAAGAAAGCUGAGCAUAUUUGUUCCACUUCCUUUAUACAACUGCACGGUAACCGGAACACUGUCGCCCAAAAGUUGACUACACUAAUGAGAACAGAGUUUAUUAACUGAAUGACAAGAAUCUACACGUCUAGGAACUUAUUUUGCUUCUUAUCUUUUCCAAAAGAGGGACAUAAUCUUGCUUCUUCAUCACAUGUGUCAUUAGUGGAAGACUUAAGUAAUGAACAGGGAGCUCUCCAACUGCAAACUUAAAAUUGGACAAGAUACUUCUCUUCUCUACAUCCGAAACCCCCGCCAUAUAUAUUGUUGAUUUCUCCACACUGAUGCUCAAUCCAGACCACACCUCAAACUCUUCAAACACAGUUAACGCACCUUGUACAGACUGCUUCAAUCCUUCAACAAACACCAUUAAAUCAUUUGCAAAGCAUAGGUGUGUGAUCGAGAGAGAUUGACAACCCGGGUGAAACUUGAAUUUUCCUUCAGCCACUGCUCUAUCAAUUUUCCUUGAUAAUACAUUCAUACACAAUACGAACAGGUACGGCGAAAGAGAGCAACCCUGACGUAGUCCUCUUGAGCUUUGAAAGUACCCCGCGAGAUAACCAUUGACUUGCACCGAGAACGAAGGACUCGUUAUGCAUAAUUAUAUCCAAUGAAUGAACUUCUUAGGAAAUCCCAAGGCACUCAGACUCUUCAAUACAAACGUCCAUUGAACUCAAUCAAACGCUUUAGAUAUAUCAAUUUUCAUAACACACCUUGGGGCAAUUGUGUCCUUAUGAUAAUCCUUGACGAGUUCUGAAGCUAGAAGAACAUUCUCCAUGAGCAAACAACCUUUAACAAACGCUGACUGGUUUUCUAUUAUGAUCUGAGGAAGCAAUCUCUUUAGGAACGCUCAGUGGUUACGGGAAGAGAAGCUGGUUUAGAAGAGGCGGCAGAAGCCCCUUUAAAGUGCCCUAGCUUAGAGGAGGCCACAAAUUUCAAGGCACCAGGCUUUUUGCGCUUCCCCAUCGCCGAGGAGAAGAAAUUUUACAGGUAAGAAGAGGGGAGACAAAGAGUUCUCGACGGUGGCGUGGUGCCGGAGCCGUCGGCGCGAGUAGGAGGAGGAAAACCCUAAUCGCCUUUUCAAUUGCCAGGAAGAGAGAGAAAAGUUAGUGUAAAUUGUUGGCCGAUCGCUCUGACCAAAUUUUUUUGUGUUAAAAGGUUAUGAUAAACCUUUAGUAGUUUUGAUAAACCUUUAGUAAGAUCUUAGCUUUUAUACCAUAUUUUAAGUUAUAUCGAACUGACUCGAUGUUAUUCAUUCACAACGUCUUUUUUCUUUAUUGGAACCUAAUGCAUCAUUAGGAAAUGAAAUACUUUUCUGAGUGACAAUUGUUCUCUUCCCAUGUCACUCUUGGUCUUUUAUCUCCUAUAUUUCGUUUUUUUAAUGAAUGUUAAAUUUAUUCACCAAAAAAGCCUUAUUACAACUUGUGCUUCCUUUUUACUUUAAAACUUAUACUCCACUACUCAAAAGAUAAGCAAAAACCUAGUUACAUUCUAGUUAGAAACCAGAAUUGCAUUAACUCCUCCAUACCUUUUGCUCCACUUUUUCGCACUAUACUGAUUAUGUUUCUAAUACCUUUCUCAAUCACUCUUUUUAGAACCGACAGGGGCAUCAUCUUUUCUCCAUGCCUUACCUUGUUCCUUUCUCUCCACAAUGCGUAUAAGACAGCCUGAAAAGCAUAUCUAAUACAUAUCAGACUCUUCUUCUCUCUUGUCCUCUCAGAGAUAAUGCGUAUGAUCCUUGACCAAUCUGUAGUAUAAGAAUUCCUCAACAACCCUUUAGCAAUGAAUUCCCAAACUUGAGCAGACAAGUUGCAUUCAAAAUAUAAGUGGUUUCUCGACUCAGGCGCAUUCUUGCAAAGAACACAGACAUCAUCACUCCCCUGGCUCCAUUUCAUCACUUUAUCCAUAGUCGACAACCUAUCUCUCACUGACAGCCACGCCAUGAAAGCAUAUUUCGGAGUCGCUUGCGGAAACCAAAUGCCUUGAGCCCAAUUACAAAAUGACUUUUUUCUCUCAACUGAUCCCAAGUUUUCUGAGUAGAGAACUCCUUCCUAUACUCCGAGUCUCUUUUCCAAAGAUAAGUAUCAGUAUUGCAUGCAUUCAGAUUAUUCUCAAUGAUACGUAGCUCCUCCUCAAUCUCAUUAAGCAUUCCUACACGGUGUCUUCUUCUUCAAACACUUAACACUGCCUCCUCCACUGUAGCAUUCUUUUUCACUCUCAUAUCAAUGAUCCCCCUAACACCCAACAAAUCAGAGAGAACCCCUUUCCCAGACCAAUUAUCAAACCAAAAAGAGGUGUAUCUUCCAUUACCCACUUCAAACUUCAAGAACAGCUUAGCCACACUUCUCAACUUCAACAUCUUAUGCCACAUCCAAGAACCCAAUUGCAUCUUUGAGUUAACUUCCCAAAAGCUUUGCCCUUUCAGCAAGUUAGCUCGGAUCCAUUUCCCCCAAAGAGACUCUCCAGUUAACAUUCUCCAUAUCAGUUUGAGACCAUAAACCUUAUUGACUUCUCUCAGAUUUCUGAUCCCCAAACCCCCUUCACUCUUAGUGCAGCAGAUAUCUUUCCAAGCAACCUUUGCAUUUGAAGAUUUAAGAGAUGGCCCCGUCCAUAAGAAAGCUGAGCAUAUUUGUUCCACUUCCUUUAUACAACUGCACGGUAAACGGAACACUGUCGCCCAAAAGUUGACUACACUAAUGAGAACAGAGUUUAUUAACUGAAUGACAAGAAUCUACACGUCUAGGAACUUAUUUUGCUUCUUAUCUUUUCCAAAAGAGGGACAUAAUCUUGCUUCUUCAUCACAUGUGUCAUUAGUGGAAGACUUAAGUAAUGAACAGGGAGCUCUCCAACUGCAAACUUAAAAUUGGACAAGAUACUUCUCUUCUCUACAUCCGAAACCCCCGCCAUAUAUAUUGUUGAUUUCUCCACACUGAUGCUCAAUCCAGACCACACCUCAAACUCUUCAAACACAGUUAACGCACCUUGUACAGACUGCUUCAAUCCUUCAACAAACACCAUUAAAUCAUUUGCAAAGCAUAGGUGUGUGAUCGAGAGAGAUUGACAACCCGGGUGAAACUUGAAUUUUCCUUCAGCCACUGCUCUAUCAAUUUUCCUUGAUAAUACAUUCAUACACAAUACGAACAGGUACGGCGAAAGAGAGCAACCCUGACGUAGUCCUCUUGAGCUUUGAAAGUACCCCGCGAGAUAACCAUUGACUUGCACCGAGAACGAAGGACUCGUUAUGCAUAAUUAUAUCCAAUGAAUGAACUUCUUAGGAAAUCCCAAGGCACUCAGACUCUUCAAUACAAACGUCCAUUGAACUCAAUCAAACGCUUUAGAUAUAUCAAUUUUCAUAACACACCUUGGGGCAAUUGUGUCCUUAUGAUAAUCCUUGACGAGUUCUGAAGCUAGAAGAACAUUCUCCAUGAGCAAACAACCUUUAACAAACGCUGACUGGUUUUCUAUUAUGAUCUGAGGAAGCAAUCUCUUUAGCCUAUUAGCCACAAUUUUAGAGACCACCUUAUAAUGGACGUUGCAGCAUGCAAUCGGCCUGUAGUCUCUCAUCUCUAGAGAGUCCAGCUUCUUUGGGACUAAAGCCAAGAUUGUGGAAUUCACCCCCUUAGGAAGAAAACCAAAUCAAAAUACAGACUGCACCGCGAUAGUAAAAUCUUGAGCUAGUACUGACCAAGUAGUCUUGAAGAACUUAGCAGGAUAACCGUCUGGCCCAGGAGAUUUGUUAUUUGGCAUAGCAAAUAGGACUUUACGCACUUCCUCUGCAGUAACUUCCUCCUCCAAGAGACGACAAUCUUCAUCAGAGCAACUGAAAUCAAGUAAGCUCCGCAACUCCUCCUUGUUAGUGCCUUGGAAAUUCUCAGGAAUACGAUUGAGAAAUUCUGAGAAAAAACUCUCUGCCUCCUGCUUAAUCUCCAGAUGUGAAUUUACUAAGUCCCCAUUCACACAUCUGAUUUCUCGAAUCAUAUUCUGAGCUUCCCUUGAUGUAAUAGCUCUGUGGUAAGUCUUAUUGUUUUGGUCUCCAAUAUCCAGCCAAUGAAGCUUUGCUUUCUGCUUCAAAAAAUCCUCCUCUAAACUAGCUACAUGUAGCCAUCUUCCAUAAGCUUCAGCUUCAUCUUGGAUUGCUUCCUCGCUCGGGUUUGCUAGAGUAAAAUUAUGCUUUAUGCAGAGAGAAUCGAAAGCUUCUUUUGCUCUUUUUGAAAUAUUCCCCAUCUUUUCCCUGCCCAUCUCUCUAAUUAACAGCUUCAAGUUCUUCAGUUUUUUCGAAAACCUGAACAUAGCUGAGGUGGAGUGAAAUAAACUCUCUGUUGCAUCCCAGUAAUCUUUCACCAUAGGCAGAAACGAGGGUAGACUCCCCAAAGCAUUUACAUACUUAAAAGGUCUUUUGAUUCUCACACGAGGAGGAAACGACUGCACUUUGCACCUCAUGUGAUCAGAACAACCACCAGAUUCAAAAACUGAAUAAGCAUUGCUAAAUCUGAGAAGAGCUUCUUCAUUGAGCAGUACUCUAUCUAACUUGUUGCAGAUAAUGCCUUCCUCCCUCUUAUUACACCAAGUAUACCUAGGCCCCUGAUAAGCCAUAUCUGCGAGACGACAUCGAAGUACCAGUGCCUUAAAAUCCCUCAUACCACUAGACAUUCUUCCACCAUUAUCAAAACUCGAACUCUCAUCACCUUCCAGUAUCUCAUUAAAAUCUCCUAAAACCAUCCAAGCUUUAUUUUUGAAACUCGGAGAUUCAUGUUGAUGAAUCAGAUCCUCCCAUAACACUUUCCUCUCUUCCACCUGAUUACUAGCAUAGAUACUCAUACAAAAAAAACCCUCCUCAUCUUCCAUCUCCACUCUUACAGUCACCAAUUGAUCCGUCUUAUACACUGGUGUUAUUCGAACUGAAUCUCUCCAUAAAAACCAUAUUAUGCCUCCUCUACUAUCUUCAUAGUUAGUAAUAGAAGACCAAUCCCUGAACACAUUAUUUAAAAUCUUCCCUGCCUUUCUCUCCUUCACUCUUGUUUCCAAAAUACAACCAAACUUGAUCUCUCUAUUAUUUAUCCACUCUGCUACCACGGAAUGCUUCAACACUUAAAACAGAGAACUUUGAUGCCGAGAUAACAGCAACUACCUCCCUGCUUGGUGUUUUUGAUGUAGUUCUUCCCACUUUAUCUGGUGACACCAAAGCCCAGACAUUAUCCUUAGCCGACUCGCUGCCUUGACCAUCCGCAGCCUCCUUUUGUUUUGACACCUCACUGCUCUUUGUCACAUACAUACCAACUUCCCGAGUAUGAUUCUCAAUACUAUGAUCAGCCCCUCCUUUAUUACGAUCCCCUCCGGAAUUACUGCCAACAAUUGUUUUCCCAUACACACCAUUUCCUUCAUUCAACCCCCCUUGUUUCUUCUCUUUCUUCUUCAUUACACAGACCUUAUCAUUGUGACCCCAUUUCUCACAGAUAUUACAUCUAGAUAAGGAUAGCAGAACUCAGCAGUAAUCUCUUUCCCAUCAAUUGCAAAAUCAAUCUUUGGUAGCGUUUUUGUAACAUCGACAUUCACAAAAAUCUUUGCCUCCUCAAAGCUUGAACAUGCAAUCGUUUAUGGAUGAAGAUGUACUGGAUAUCCAACCGUACUCGUCAUGAAGCUCAGAGCCUCCCAAGAGAACAUGUGCAGUGGCACCUUCCUCAAGUUAACCCACAUCGGACUAGCUUCUUCCGCCUGCUUUUCCUCUUCCGUCUUAGGAGACCAUUUUUUAACGAUCAUAGGAAUUCCGGCAAUGUUCCACAUCCCUCUUUUAAUAACCUUCUCCCGAGCUUUCUGAUUUUUUAUCUUAAACCUCAUCGUCGUAGCAUUGACAUCAUACACCUCCACUUUAGAUGACAAAUCACCAUAGCUCCAGAUCUUGUUCACCACCAUGUGCACCUUAGCGAUAUGAGGCGCAAUAUCCAGAAACUUUCCUACAAUGAAAUCCUCCCACAACGGAGUAGCAUCGGAGAGAAUCUCAACAGGAAUCACCACUUUGUGCUUACCAUCAAUCGAUUUCACCUCAACUGCGUAUUUCUUUAGGCUUCGUUUAUCCUGCGCCACUUCUACCCAUUUUGAAUCUCUUUAUAUCUGAUCUUCUUUCGAUCUCUUCACUUCUCCCAAUCCCUCAUCCUACUCUCUGGCGAACCAGAUGAGCCCGGCGGUGACGCCAAAAUCAUCAGAAACCCUCGACACGAAUCGCAGUCAGAAUCGCCAAUAAAAUCGCCGUUAGCACAACGCAGCGUUUUUUUUCGGCCUUUCUCAUCCCCUAUAUUUCUCGUUACAAACUUCAGGGCAUACCAACCCUCAAAAUUAUAAGGAGAACGCUGAACGCACACUCCCAAUAAUAACACUGUUUGAGACGUUCGUUCGAUUGUUAUUCAAAUAAUACAAGUUGGUAUCAUACAUAUACAGAGUAAAACGUAGAUAUGUCAUAUCUCACAAUAACAAAAGCACAACUCAAAAAAAAAACUCUUGGUAAGCUAACCACAGAAAUUUUAUAUCCAGCAAAAGGCAAAUGAAAUCCUUAGUAGUUGAUUAUGGUUGACUUGUGUGUUUAGCGGGCACCACAUUAAUCUUCAGGUCUAGUAACAUAAUCACACAGGUUUUAGGUUUCUCAAGGUCUCCAUGGUGCUGGUGGAGGCGGGGGAGUAGGGAACAAUGGAGGAACCGCUGAGAAUAUAGUGUUUUUGUCUAUAGUACCAGAUGCCUCCUCUUCACCCGACAAUGCUACGAGAGCUGCGACCAGACCAGCAUUUCCUGCAAGAGUCGGUUCAGUGUAGUUGUAGUUAGUCCGUACAUCGCGGAAACCAUCGCGCUUGUCAGGACCAGCAACCAUGGCUCCUUCAAUCGUGUUUGGGUUCGGUUUCUUGCUGUCUCUCCAUUUCCAUCCUCCUUUGCAGUUGUAUUUCACUUUGUUUUUGGGAAUCGAAGCUCCUCUGUGAUGCACGUGUUUCGGGUAUUUUGGGCCAAAACCCACGAGAUAGCUCAUUUUGCGAGGGUUUUUACCGAGUAUGUAAUCAAUCUGCAGUAACACAGGUAGGCUGAGUUAAGCUCAAAUCUGAUUUUUACCACGAAAAAUAAAUCAUCAAAUCUAAGAUCUGCAUUAAUGACUACAUCAACUGUGUCUACGAUUUCCUUUACGAUCAAAUCUAAAAUUUUAGUACUCGAAAGUAAUUAUGUAAACCAAUGUGUCAACAACUCGACAAAAGCAGUGUUGAUAAUAGUUUUUCAAGUGAUAAACAUGAUAUUUCCCAUUACUAGUGUAUCAGAGAAUUACAUUUGUAUAGAGAGAGAGAGACGCAAUACCUGAGAUCUCGAAAAAUCUCGUAGGACACUGGUUGAAUAGAAAUUAGGUCCACAGUACCAUCCAGGAGUAUCAGCAGCAUCCAGAUAAUCGCUGUACAACGUAGCUAAGAAAGCUGCAUUUGCAGCAUACUGGAGGGGCUGUGGAUCUCCAUGAUUCAACUCUAUCAAACCUCCUGCACAUAUAACCAGAAAAUUUACAUUUGUUUAAUAUCCAGAUCAAGAACUGGUUCAACAUUCAAAGCUGCCUUAAAGCCAAAGACUAGCAUAUACAUAUAUAUAUAUAACUCACCCCUGGUUCUGUUAAAUUUGUUGAAAUACGGCAAGUAUGAGCACAUGACUAUGCUUGUCUGAUUAUGGAAUGUUCUUAGAAUUUCUUCAUAUGGGUAUCCAGGACUCAAAAACAACCUUAACCGGCUCAGCAGCAACUGAAAAGUACAGGGUGUUUACAAGCGCUAAAGAGGAGAUCAACAACAUAACGGAAACAUAAACACAAUAAGUUGAUUUGUGGGCUGACCUGAGCACCAGCAAGCUUGUUGUCCCAGCUAAAUACACCAUAGUAAGGCCCACCCCAGAAGGCACCCGCAUGCUUAGCCAUAGUUGGCUUUGUGAUUAGAUCGAGAUAAGUUACGUUUCCUGUGGCAUAGUAUAACCAAGCACCACCCCAAAUAAACUCAUCCCAAUACAUGCUUGAAUUGUAAAACUUGGCCGACUCCGCAGUGCCUGCACUGUAUCUGCCUCUCCGAGUUCUUCCAAACUGAUACACAGUCUUAGCACCAUGUACGAGCUUCUUAGAAUACUCUCUGUUGUCUUUGAACACAAUGGAUGCUGAAGCGAGAGCAGCUGCCAUCUCUGCAGCGAGAUCCGAACAUCCACCAUUACAGGUAGUCACAGGCCUUUUGUAGUCCAUGUCUUCAGGUCGCAUCCAGCAGUAAUGGUCAUUAGGAUCCGUACUUCCGUCGUCAGUGUUUCCAGCUCCGACCUUAGAGUUUAAAUAAGGAAACAAAACAAAACAACUCAAAAGAAAGCUAAAGAUAUUAUCCUAGCCUAGGAAAGGAAGUUUUACCUGUGAAACAAGAUCAUCGAUGGAAUCAGCAGUACUGUUAAAGGUCUUGAGAAAGUAAUCAGUUCCCCAUUUAAUGAGCUCCCUAACAUGGGCAAGCUCUCCUGCAGCUUCGUAUUUAGCACUGUAUUCAAUGACACUCCAGCUCAACAUGGUCAUAGCAUAAGCCAUGGGGAAAUUGAACUUGAUAGUAUCUCCAGCAUCGUAAUAGCCUCCAACCAAAUCUUUAUAGAAGCUUCCUGAAUCACCUUUCCCAUCUUGAAGACCAGAACUACCUCUCCAUGACACGUUAUUGUGCCUCGGCAACUUUCCAGCUGCAGAUUGAAAAAAUAAUUAAUCAGACUAUCAUUUCCUUAAGAUUUUUACACAUCAGAGCUACUACUAGGACUUACAUUUCUGAGCAUUGAAAAACUUGAGGGCUUUGUGAAGAGCGAUUGUGUAAUUAUCCGGCGCUGGAUUCUUGUGGUGGUGACGCGGCACAGUUUUGAUGAUCAAGGUUAUGAAUCCGGCGAGUAAAGCGGCGGCGACAACUAUACCGACGGUCCAGACGAAGAUCUUGCGGCUGACGAUUAUACAGCCGAGAUCGACGAACUUCUUCUUCUUCUGCUCAGUCGGACCAAGAAGCCAGCUCUGCUGCGUUUCGUCGAGUGGCCGAGAAAGAGCCGCGCGGUCGACAUCAUUCAGAUUCCGGCUACGAUCGUCGUCGGUGGCGGAAUCCGUGGCGUUGAUCUCCAGUGGACCUCCCCAGGGAUCUCGGCCGUACAUGGUUUAGAAGAGAAGAAGAAGAUCAGAUCUAAGAGUGUGAAUGAGGUUUGUUUUUGUACUUUGAGAGGAGGAGGAAAUGUGAGCUAAGCUAGUCAAUAAUAAUGGACUAAUUUGCUUUGUGGUUUCGAUUCUUUUUCUCACUUCCAUUAUUAUUUUAUUAUUAUUAUUUUGGCUGUCGGUUUAUAUCUUCAUCAUGUUACGUUACAGCUGCACUGAACCAUGAUUGAGCUUUCUUGCCAACUCGUAUAAUUUGGUAAUUAAAUUAAAUUUGUGAAAGAUAACUUGAUGACAGGAAAAAGCAAAAUUUGAGUGUUAAUGACAACCAAAGCAUAUUCUAUGUAAUUUAUCAGAAAACUACAUUUCUCAUUUAUGAUUCUCAACUAUAGUUUCCGUUUAAUUAAUUACAUACUAGGAUAAUAACUGCGCAAGCGCAGGGUGAGUUUAUUUCUAUAUAUUAUCGAUAAUUUUUUUUAUAUAUUUGAUCAUUUUAUUUAUAUAAUAUACAAUAUUUUUUGUUGUUAUUAUAUAAUUUCUUUCCGAUAGAUCAAAUCAAUUUUUAUUAAAAAUGAUGGAACAAAACUAUAAUUAAUACAUCAUGGGUUGAUCGGAUUGGACAUUAAACAAAUUAUGACAUAAAAACCUUAUUUUUUCCAUCGAACACAUUUUUGAGAAAAGUAAACAGUGUUGUUUUCACAGUUGAAUUAUUUUGACUUUUAUCUUCCAUAUGGUUUUGAAAGCUUUCAAAUCAACCAUCGAAUUGAUACAUGUCAUUUUAAUGUUUUUAGUCGUAUACUUAAGGAAAACUUACAUUUUUGUAAUUUAAAGUCGUUUUAAAAAAAUUCAAAAUAUAACAUAUAAGAAAAAGUCUAACAUAUAAGAAAAAUAUAACAUAUAAAGUGUCCUCAUUUUUGUAUUUUAAAGUCGUUUUAAGAAAAAAAUAACAUAUAAGACUUCCUCAUUUUUGUAAUUUAAUGUCAUUUUAAAAAAUUCUAAAUAUAACAUAUAAGAAAAAUCUAAUUUUUUUAUUAUAUGGUUAAUGUGAUUUUUAUUUUUUUAAUAAUAUUAAAUUAAACAAAAUGAAGAAAGAUGCGAAAAUUGUUAUCAAAUCUUUAUUAUUCAUAAUCAUUAAUUACCAUAUAUAUGUAAAUCAUAUUAGGCAAUUUCCUAGCUUUUAUUUAGGAAAAAAAUACACACUUCUUAUAUUUUAGGUUAAUAUAAUGUUCUCUAGUGGACAUUAAGCAAAUUAUGACAUAAAAACCUUAUUUUUUUCCUCGAACACAUUCUUGAAAAAGUGAACAGUAUUAUUUUCACAGUUAAAUUAUUUUGACUUUUAUCUUACAUAUGGUUUUGAAAGCUUUCAAAUCAGCCAUCGAACAUAUACAUGUCAUUUUAAUGUGUUUAGUCGUAUACUUAAGAAAAACUUACAUUUUUGUAAUUUAAAGUCGUUUUAAAAAAAUCAAAAUAUAACAUAUAAGAAAAAAUCUAACAUAUAAGAAAAAUAUAACAUAUAAGGUGUCCUCAUUUUUGUAUUUUAAAGUCUUUUUUAAAAAAAAUAUAACAUAUAAGGUUUCCUCAUUUUUUUAAAUUUAAUGUCAUUUUAAAAAAUUCCAAAUAUAACAUAUAAGAAAAAAUCUAAUUUUUUUUAUUAUAUGGUUAAUGUGAUUGUUUAUUUUUUUAAUAAUAUAAAAUUAAACAAAAUGAAGAAGGAUGCAAAAAUUGUUAUCAAAUCUUUAUUAUUCAUAAUCAUUAAUUGUCAUAUAUAUGUAAAUCAUAUUAGGUAAUUCCGUAGCUUUUAUUUAAGGAAAGAAUACACAUUUCUUAUAUUUUAGGUUAAUAUAAUGUUCUCUAGUGUUAUAUAAUUAUGAAAUAAUGUGACACCAUUAGAUUAAACUAUAUUUUAUAUUAGAUGUUCUAGAAUUCUUUGUAAUUGAAUUUAGAAGACAUUUAGAGUGCCACCUAGGAUUUGAGAUUUUUUUUAAUUAAUACAAAAUUAAAGUUUUAAUUUUUCAAAUGCUUCUCAAUUAAUAUAUAGGGGAUACAUAUACAAGUUUAAUAUUCAUCUUGUAAUGUAACGGUUAAACGAGAUGGUGAAAUCAUCAAAAUUCAAAGGUUUUCAAAUAAUAAUCCACAAUAUGUUGUUGUUCUUUUAUGAUUCCCUGUUUUAAAUAUGUCACUGAGUGCAGUAAUCACAUUUGGCAAAUAUCACGUAGUUAAUACUAUUUGUUCCGCCAUUGAACAAAAAUUAAUAUACAUAUUUUAUUCACCGUUUUAAGAAAUAUAUUUAAGUGUAAUAUACUUUGUUUACUAUUACUAACAAAGCAAUUGGCUAAAUGUUGGGUGAACGACAAAGACAUAUCCCCUAACUCUAUACUAUACAUUGUCGGUGGGGUGUAUCAGCAUAUUUUUUUUUUUUUUCAACCAUGUAUCAGCAUAUUUAAUAGUAGUAUUUAUUUUAUCUCAGAGAAUUGUGGUGUUUACCAAGUCAUCAUUUUGGUGGCCGUUUUUUUUUUCAUAUUAAUUUUCCUUGCAGUAGCAACUCUAAUUGAACGCUAAAACAUUAAAUCUGAUGUAAUUUUAUUUCGAAAAAAACCAAAAAUGAUAUUUUCCUACCAAAUUUGGUGUGAUAUUGUUUAUCACAUCAAAUAUUUAUUAUACAUAUUUUAUUAUUUUUCAUUUAAUAAUAUAGUUCAACUAUUAUGAUUAACUAGUUCAAAUUUGUAACUAAACAUAAAUAUAUUAUAUUAAUUAUAUUUUAAAAUUAUUUUUACAUAGUUAAAAUAUUGGAAAAAUUACAUAUUUACCACUUUCAUGCUACCACUUUUCAUUUUUACCACCACUAGAAUGACAUUUUCAAAAAUACAUUCUUCAUUAAGUGUUAAAAAAUUCUUAUGCCUAUAUUCUUUACAUAUAUAAUAAAUAAAUAUUUAAAUAAUUAAAAAUAUAAAAAAAUAAAAAAUAAUUUGUUUUAAUUUUUUUCUGAAUUAUACUAUUUCGAAAUUUAAACCCUAAACCUUAAAACUCAACUCUAAACCCUAAACUAUCAAUCUUAAACUUUUUUUUUUUGAAAUACGAACCCUAAACCCUAAACCAUAAAUCCUAAACACUAUUUUUUUUUAAAUAAACCCUAAACCCUGAAACAUCAACUCUAAACCAUAAACCCCGAAACAUGAACUCUAAACCCUAAACAUUCAACUCUAAACCCUAAAACAUCAACUCUAAACCCUAAAUCCCAAACUUCAACUUUAAACCCUAAACCAUCAGCACUAAACCCUAAACUAUCAACACUAAACCCUAAACCAUAAAAAUUAAACUCUAAACCCUAAACCCUAAAAAAUUAACCCCAACUCUAAACCCUAAACCUUAAACUUUCAACUCUAAACCCUAAACCCUAAACCCUAAAACCCUAGAGUUGAUGUUUUAGGGUUUAGAUUUGAAGAUUUAGGGUUUAGGGUUUACGUUUAGGGUUUAGAGUUGAUGUUUAAGGGUUUAGAUUUGAAGGUUUAGGGUUUAGGGUUUAGGGUUCGAAUUUCAGAAAAAUAUAAGGUUUAGGGUUUAGUGUUUAAGUUUAGGGUUUAGAGUUGAUGUUUUAGGGUUUUGAUUUGAAGGUUUGGGAUUUAGAGUUGAUGUUUCGGGGUUUAGGGUUUAGAGUUGAUGUUUCAUGGUUUAGAGUUUAGAGUUGAUGAUUUAGGGUUUAAAGUUGAUAUUUUAAGUUUAGAUUUAGGGUUUAGGGUUUUUGUUUAGGGUUUAGAGUUGAUGUUUUAGGGUUUAGAUUGUAAGUUUUAGGGUUUAGAGUUCAUGUUUCCGGGUUUAGGAUUUAGAGUUAAUGAUUUAGGGUUUAGAGUUGAUGUUUUAAGUUUAGAUUAGUUAACCAUAUGUUUUUUUUUUGUCAAAGGUAAUCAAAAGAUUAUAAAAGUAUUUUACCCUUCAUUAAAGAUGAGGGUAAAGUCGUUAGUGUAAACAUGAAAAGUGGUAUUUUGAAAAUGGUAUUUUUGCCAAUUUCCCUAAAAUAUUUAUUAUUUUAUUUUAAAGUAAGAAAUCACUCGAUGACUAUUUUCAUUUAUUUUAUAUUGUAAAAGAGUAUCAUAGAACUUUUAUAUUUUAUUUUUAAUAAUAAAAAAAUAAUUAAUAUUUUAUAAAUUAUAUAAAUUAAUAAUAUAAUCCGGAUAAGAUUAAAAUGCAUAUUUUAGUGAAUAGUGUAAUACCAAAUUUAGUGUGAUAUUGUUUAUCACAUCAAAUAUUUAAUAUAUAUAUUUUUUUUAUUUUUCAUUUAAUAAUAUAGUUCAACUAUUAUUAUUAACUAGUUCAAAUUUGUAACUAAACAUAAAUAUAUUAUAUUAAUUAUAUUUUAAAAUUAUUUUUACAUAGUUAAAAUAUUUAUUAUUUUAUUUUCAAGUAAGAAAUCACUCGAUGACUAUUAUCAUUUAUUUUAUAUUGUAAAAGAAUAUCAUAGAACUUUUAUAUUUUAUUUUUAAUAAUAAAAAAAUUAAUUAAUAUUUUAUAAAUUAUAUAAAUUUAUAAUAUAAUCUGGAUAAGAUUGACACUAAAAAAAUAAAAAGUAUAAUAUUGUUAAAACGAAAAAUAUAAAUGUAAAUAAAUUUUAUAAACAUAAAUUACAAAAAAUUAACUAACAUAAUAUUUAAGUGUAAUAAAAUAAUUAUUUAUCAAUAAUAUAUAAUAAAAAUAUAAAAUUAUUAAAACUUAAAGCAUUAAAGAAUAUAUAAUAGAUAAAAUAACUAGGAUAGCACCAAAAAAGUUUUUGUCACAAAUAUAGCUUAUAAGAAUAAAAAUGACCAAAACAACAUUUAAUAUUUUAUCAAAAGAGAUAAAUAUACACUUAUACCCCAAUGGUAAAUUAAUUUAAACAUUAGGGUUUAGAGUUAAGGGGUGGGGUUUCGGAUUUAGGGUUUAUGGUUUAGGAUUUAGGGUUUACGGUUUAGAGUUUAGGGGUGGGGUUUAGGGUUUAGGGUUUAGAGUUAAGGGGUGGGGUUUAGGAUUUAGGGUUUAGGAUUUAGGGUUUAGGGUUUAGGGGUUAGAGUUUAGGGGUGGGUUUAGGGUUUAGGGUUUAGAGUUAAGGGAUGGGGUUUAGGAUUUAGGAUUUAAGGUUUAGAGUUUAGAGUUUAGGAUUUAGAGUUUAGGUUUUAGGGUUUAGAGUUGGAGAGUGGAGUUUUGGGAUAAGAUUUCAAAUUUUGAAAAAUAAAAUAAAAUUAAAUUUUUCAAAAGAUACAAUGCUAUUUUUGGUCAUUUUAGUUUUUGAAAGCUAUUUUUGUGACAUAAACUUAGAAAUGUGCUAUUUUUGAGAUUUGUCCUAUAUAAUAUUACUUUUGGUGUGUAAUAUUUAGUGUUAUGGUUCGAGAAGACAAAAAAAAGUUUGACAUCAAAACACUAAAUUUGAUGUAAUUUCUAACACCAAAUUUGGUGU
rnacentral:lncRNA from 1 species